rnacentral:rRNA from 1 species
AGUGAACGCUGGCGGUAGGCCUAACACAUGCAAGUCGAACGGCAGCACAGUAAGAGCUUGCUCUUACGGGUGGCGAGUGGCGGACGGGUGAGGAAUACAUCGGAAUCUACUUUUUCGUGGGGGAUAACGUAGGGAAACUUACGCUAAUACCGCAUACGACCUACGGGUGAAAGCAGGGGAUCUUCGGACCUUGCGCGAUUGAAUGAGCCGAUGUCGGAUUAGCUAGUUGGCGGGGUAAAGGCCCACCAAGGCGACGAUCCGUAGCUGGUCUGAGAGGAUGAUCAGCAACACUGGAACUGAGACACGGUCCAGACUCCUACGGGAGGCAGCAGUGGGGAAUAUUGGACAAUGGGAGCAAGCCUGAUCCAGCCAUACCGCGUGGGUGAAGAAGGCCUUCGGGUUGUAAAGCCCUUUUGUUGGGAAAGAAAAGCAGCAGGUUAAUACCCCGCUGUUCUGACGGUACCCAAAGAAUAAGCACCGGCUAACUUCGUG